AGCGAACGCUGGCGGCAGGCUUAACACAUGCAAGUCGAGCGGGCAUCCUUGUGGUGUCAGCGGCAGACGGGUGAGUAACGCGUGGGAACGUGCCCUUCGGUUCGGAAUAACUCAGGGAAACUUGAGCUAAUACCGGAUACGUGCGAGAGCAGAAAGGUUUAUCUGCCGAAGGAUCGGCCCGCGUCUGAUUAGCUAGUUGGUGAGGUUAUGGCUCACCAAGGCGACGAUCAGUAGCUGGUCUGAGAGGAUGAUCAGCCACACUGGGACUGAGACACGGCCCAGACUCCUACGGGAGGCAGCAGUGGGGAAUAUUGGACAAUGGGGGCAACCCUGAUCCAGCCAUGCCGCGUGAGUGAUGACGGCCUUAGGGUUGUAAAGCUCUUUUCUCCGGGACGAUAAUGACAGUACCGGAGGAAUAAGCCCCGGCUAACUUCGUG
rnacentral:rRNA from 1 species